rnacentral:miRNA from 1 species
UCUUGUCACAACCCAGACUCUGAUUCAGGAGGUCUGGGGUGGCGCCUGAGAUUCUGCAUUUCUAACAAGCUC